AACAAUCUAGGUUAAUUGAGACUGUCUGUCUUCAAAACGGGAGGUGGCUUGUCGCCGUUUGUUG
rnacentral:tRNA from 1 species